rnacentral:rRNA from 1 species
GACAGAGGCCUCAAGCGUUAGGCGGAAUCACUGGGCUUAAAGCGUGUGUAGGCGGGUCGUUAAGUACCUUGUGAAAUCCCACGGCUCACCCGUGGAACUGCUGGGUAUACUGGCGAUCUCGGGCCAUUCAGGGGCGACUGGAACAAGCGGUGGAGCGGUGAAAUGCGUAGAUAUCGCUUGGAACGCCGAAGGUGAAAACAGGUCGCUGGGGAUGUGCCGACGCUGAGACACGAAAGCCAGGGGAGCAAACGGG